rfam:Lutispora thermophila DSM 19022 genome assembly, contig: EJ66DRAFT_scaffold00061.61
GAAAGCCGUAUGCGAGAAAACCGCACGUACGGUUUGAUGAGGGGGCGGUGGAAACCCCACUGCUCUACUCUAU